AGUAAAACCCCAAUAACUUUGACUCUUCACUGCACCUUAGUCGAUUACGUUCCAUCUCUUGGCUCCGAUGAAGCGGCAUCGUAAGUUCGUAACUGUCAUAUGGCAUUCACUCAACAGCACUCACACCGGCGUUAAAAUCAAAGAUCCACUCCUCCUCCCACUAUGCCUUAUUCAAUAUUCUGUUUCCUUCCUCAGACACGACGAAUCCAGACCUAUAAAUAAGGGUUCUCGGUCUGUCAGAUUUUUCAGCUUCUCCUUCUGGCAUCAUUAGAAUCAUUAGAAAGCCUCACACCAGGAAUAGUUUCCUCAUCGUGCCGAUUUAAAAUCAGCUUCAUAGGUUCAAUGAUAAGGCUGCUUUUGCCGAGAUUACUGGUCCGGUCAGUCUGAUAUAUUUGGAGCUGUUUCGGCUCCGCAAUGAGAAGAAGCUGAUUGCUUUGGCUAACACCAAUUCUCAUCUUCCUGGUUGGUCUCUAAGAUUAUGCUUCUAAAAUAGAAAAUUCAAAUUCCGCGAAGAUGUUGUGAUUUUUUUAUAUUUUGUGCAAACAUUAUUGGUGAGUUGACCGGGAUCAAAAGCACUUCAGCGAAUAAGCACACGAAAAAGGCAGUGUUGCAACCAUUAAAAUUCAAAGUUCAGACAUUACACAUGUGCAUGGAUAUAUUGGUUUGGCUAAGUGUGUUAGAGCUAUGACGUAGACCCAAACAUUAUUGUGGCAAGAAGCAUAAACCCAAAAAUGGUUGGAGGUCGGUUUUUCCUGAACCCAACUUUAGCACCCAUUACUACUUUGACAAGCAGACACAGCUGGCAAGAGUUAUUUUCAGAGGUUGGAGUCUAAUGCCGGCACAAACCCAGCACAUGCUUCGUUCAGUCAUGGUUUUGAAAAGGUAGAGCUACGAAUAUGCUAUCGCCAAUAUAUCCCUCAGGAAUGAAAUGUUCCUUUACACCGGGAAAGUGGCGAGUGUUCAUACAGAUAAUGGGUGGUGUUUCAUUGCUUGCUCCAAGUGCUCUUCAUAGGGAAGUAUCGUCGUUUACAUGCAUCAUCUGUGAUAACUCCAACAGUAUCGGUGUGCUCAGGUAACAUGUUGAGCUAGCAGUGGCAGAUGACACUUCUUAUAAAUGUAAGAGACGUGUUUACAUGCCAUAUAACAUUAUGGGGACAUGAAUGUUUUCACAUCAACCACCAAUAAAGUUCUUGCUGCUCAUAUGUGGAGAGAUGAUUCACCAGAAUAAUGCAGGUUUCACUUUUAAAAUGGUCAAUCUUUUCUGAAAAAUAAGCACAUAAGACAUUAUACGAUUGUAGAUAGGUGAAUUUUUUCUAAUCUUAAUGGUACGGUAAUAGACCGCAAGUGAGUUAAGGGAAGAGCUAACAAAGUUAACUCAGAGAAGAAGAAGCUAACAGAGAUGUAGCAACAGUCUACGAGAACUACUACGCAUUACAUCAUCAUCUGGAGAAGCUUCAGAGUCGAAGUAGACAUGAAAUAGGUAUGCUCAAACAACUAGAAAAGAAAAUAAAACAAGAUCCAUAGGAGUUCUUAGGGUUUCCUAAUGGAGUCAGUAGUAGAGAACAACUCCAGCUACCAAGAUCAUCAUCAGCUGCAUCAACAUGAGCAGAAAAAAAAACAGCUUCUUUCAGGCAAAAGACCAGUCAUUGAUAGCUUCAACAAAGCAAAGGUUUCAACAGUAUUUGUGCCUACUGAUACUCCUGACACGAGCUUGGUAGAUGUUUUGUGGUAUUGAUGUUUAUGUUUGCUAUGGACGCAUAAGAACUAAAUAGUGUUAUGUUGUGGAAUUACUUUGCAAAGAUGGGCAUCGAUGGAGGAAAUGUGGUCAUAAGGUUACAAGAGAUAACCAUGUGCAUAGAGCUUACUUAAGAUUUUCGUUUGCCCAUCUUGUCCGGUAAAAAAAGGGUGCAAUACAGUGCAUAGGUUCCAUCUGUACUGGUGGCCACAUAUACGCAUAACCACUUGGAUCAAGCACUGUGACUUUGGAUAUGGUUCAUGUGGGCAUAUAUUAGUUUUGGAGAAGAAAAUGGAGGUUUUGGUUCAUCAAAUGGCGUCUUCGUUAACUACUGAUUCAAAUUUUGCUCCUUUUGCGGCUGCUAUAUUUGGGAGGUUGAUGCAGCAGUCUAGAACAUGAAGCUUUCAAUGAAUGUUUCUGUUUUGAUUUCUCAUCCAUGGAAAAUAGGAUGGGUGUUUCUUCUCUUUCGAAUUGUAGUUGUUACAAAAAGGUGAAAACUUACGUGUAUAUAAAUAUUACACGUACUUGUGUUUUACAUAUAAACGUAACAAGAUUCUUCUCUUUC